rnacentral:rRNA from 1 species
GUGCCAGCAGCCGCGGUAAUACGGAGGAUGCAAGCGUUAUCCGGAAUGAUUGGGCGUAAAGCGUCCGCAGGUGGCACAUCAAGUCUGCUGUCAAAGCCCCCAGCUUAACUGGGAAGAGGCGGUGGAAACUGGUGAGCUAGAGAGCAAUAGGGGUAGAGGGAAUUCCCGGUGUAGCGGUGAAAUGCGUAGAGAUCGGGAAGAACACCAGUGGCGAAAGCGCUCUACUAGGUUGCAACUGACACUGAGGGACGAAAGCUAGGGGAGCGAAUGGGAUUAGAUACCCCAGUAGUCC